rnacentral:rRNA from 1 species
UGAGGAAUAUUGGUCAAUGGACGGAAGUCUGAACCAGCCAAGUAGCGUGCAGGAAGACGGCCCUCUGGGUUGUAAACUGCUUUUAGUUGGGAAUAAAGUGCACCACGUGUGGUGUUUUGUAUGUACCAUCAGAAAAAGGACCGGCUAAUUCCGUGCCAGCAGCCGCGGUAAUACGGAAGGUCCAGGCGUUAUCCGGAUUUAUUGGGUUUAAAGGGAGCGCAGGCGGACCUUUAAGUCAGCUGUGAAAUACGGCGGCUCAACCGUCGAACUGCAGUUGAUACUGGAGGUCUUGAGUGCACACAGGGAUACUGGAAUUCAUGGUGUAGCGGUGAAAUGCUCAGAUAUCAUGAAGAACUCCAAUCGCGAAGGCAGGUAUCCGGGGUGCAACUGACGCUGAGGC